rnacentral:rRNA from 1 species
UACGGAGGGUGCGAGCAUUGUCCGGAAUCACUGGGCGUAAAGGGCGCGUAGGUGGCGCGGGAAGUCAACGGUGAAAGUUCGGGGCUCAACCCUGAAUCGGCCGUCGAUACUCCCGGGCUCGAGCACUGUAGAGGCAGAUGGAAUUCCGGGUGUAGCGGUGGAAUGCGUAGAGAUCCGGAAGAACACCGGUGGCGAAGGCGGUCUGCUGGGCAGUUGCUGACACUGAGGCGCGACAGCGUGGGGAGCAAACAGGG